rnacentral:rRNA from 2 species
GGACUACAGGGGUAUCUAAUCCCGUUUGCUCCCCUGGCCUUCGUGCCUCAGUGUCAGGAACUGUCCAGAGACCCGCCUUCGCCACUGGUCUUCCUUACGAUCUCUACGCAUUUCACUGCUACACCGUAAAUUCCAGUCUCCUCUCCAGUCCUCAAGCACCGCAGUAUCGAAUGCAGUUUCGGAGUUAAGCUCCGAAAUUUCACACCCGACUUACGACGCCACCUACGCACCCUUUACGCCCAAUGAAUCCGAACAACGCUUGAGACCUCUGUAUUACCGCGGCUGCUGGCAC